AGUGAACGCUGGCGGCGUGCCUAACACAUGCAAGUCGAGCGGUUUCAGGGUAGCAAUACCUUGGAAUAGCGGCGAACGGGUGAGUAACACGUGGGUAAUCUCCCCUCGAGUGAGGAAUAAACCCUCGAAAGGGGGCCUAAUACCGCAUGAAACUCCGGGACUUAUGUCUUCGGAGUCAAAGCCGACAGGCGCUGGAGGAUGAGCCUGCGUCCUAUUAGCUAGUUGGUAGGGUAAUGGCCUACCAAGGUUAUGAUGGGUAGCCGGCCUGAGAGGGUGUACGGCCACACUGGGACUGAGACACGGCCCAGACUCCUACGGGAGGCAGCAGUGAGGAAUUUUGCGCAAUGGGGGAAACCCUGACGCAGCGACGCCGCGUGGAGGAUGAAGGCCUUCGGGUCGUAAACUCCUGUCAGAGGUGAAGAAUGCCCGCAAGGGUUUGACGGUAACCUCAGAGGAAGCCCCGGCUAACUACGUGCCAGCAGCCGCGGUAAAAC
rnacentral:rRNA from 1 species